GUUGAGUGGUUGAGAUGAAUUCCAGCAUUUUCUGGAAAAGCAUACAGAGAUCACAAAAGAAAAGAAAAACGAUCAGGCUUAAAAAAGAAUGCUUCAGAGGACAAAGCCGGCUGUUAAAACGUCAAAUCGUGUCUCACGAUGCCCUCAGAAAGACCUCUGUAAAGAAGUAAAUCAGCCAUCUAUCACAACAAAUAGUCCUCUGACGAUGGAUGAAACACUUCCUCGAGCGCGCAGCCUGACCACAGCACAUGCCCCGCCAAUAUUGUUGGAUAAAUCGACUGUUCCCCGAGGACAAAUGCUGCCAGUGUGCCAGGAUCAAUUUCUCUCUGCCUCAUUUCAAUUUGUGGAAAAUAACUGGAUAAAUUCAGCCACCGCAUUUAUGAAUGCAACUUCAUGUGCUUUCACAUCAGCAGAUAUCAGCCACACUUUUUUACCCAGCUCAUCUUCAAGCCAUAUGUUAUGGGAUGCUGCUUCUCACCAGGUGGAUCCUGUUACUUUCCUAUCAGGUCAUUGUGGCCAAGCCUAUACCCCACCUGAAAAAACUGAAGUGUGUUACACUGACUUACCUCAGGUUAGCCAACCUGACAUUGUAUCAGUAGAUUUUACAAGCCAACUAGUUAUCUCACCAUGUAAACUUCAAAGGGAACCUUCAAGCUCUGAUGACGUCACUCUUGCAGUUUCAGAAGCUUUGUGCGAUUCAAGACUUUUCCCAGACAGUGCCAACUGCAGUAGCCUUUUAACAGACAGUCAGUGUGAUGUGGUUAGUCCAUUUUGGCUCGAUUUGCUUUUGGAUAGCAGUAGUAACUUGUGCUUCCCUGAUCCUAAUCUUGUAGAUUUUGUCCUUUCCCCUGAAACGGGUCCUGAUUAAGUACAAAGUUACUGCAACUUUGCAGUUUGAAAUGACCAGCUAGUAGA